AGACAAACAAAAGUCCUAAAACUCUCAAACCAAGCACAAGAAUGACAUCUGGACAAAAACCACCCUUAUUCCUGCGGAAGAUGUGCCCAUAAAGAGACGAUGAUUUCCGGACCCUCAAACCCCAUUCUAAAUCCUGGAAGAAAUUUCAGAGGCUGUGGGUAUCUCAGGAAACAAAUGCAAACGGCAGAGCUCUCAGAGGACUAGGAACCAGCACCCACAAAGGCUGCUAGUACCAAAUGUAACCUCUCUC